AGAGUUUGAUCCUGGCUCAGAACGAACGCUGGCGGCAGGCUUAACACAUGCAAGUUGAACGGGAUUUGUAUGGUGCUUGCACCAUGUAAUGAGAGUAGCGCACUGGUGAGUAACACGUGGGAACAUACCUUGAAGUGGGGGACAACAGUUGGAAACGACUGCUAAUACCGCAUAAUCCCUGAGGGGGAAAGAUUUAUCGCUUUAAGAUUGGCCCGCGGAAGAUUAGGUAGUUGGUGGGGUAAAGGCCUACCAAGCCGACGAUCUAUAGCUGGUCUGAGAGGACGAACAGCCACAUUGGAACUGAGACACGGUCCAGACUCCUACGGGAGGCAGCAGUGAGGAAUAUUGGGCAAUGGAGGAAACUCUGACCCAGCCAUGCCGCGUGAGUGAAGAAGGUUUUCGAAUUGUAAAGCUCUUUCGGAUGGGACGAUGAUGACGGUACCAUCUAAAGAAGCCCCGGCAAACUUCGUGCCAGCAGCCGCGGUAAUACGAAGGGGGCAAGCGUUGUUCGGAAUUACUGGGCGUAAAGGGUGUGUAGGCGGAUUUGUAAGAUAGUGGUGAAAUACCUGAGCUCAACUUAGGAAUUGCCAUUAUAACUAUAGAUCUGGAGUGACAGAGAGGAUAUUGGAAUACCCAGUGUAGAGGUGAAAUUCGUAGAUAUUGGGUAGAACACCAGUGGCGAAGGCGAGUAUCUGGCUGUCAACUGACGCUGAGGCACGAAAGCAUGGGGAUCAAACAGGAUUAGAUACCCUGGUAGUCCAUGCUGUAAACGAUGAAUGCUAGUUGUCGGCAAAAGCCGGUGACGCAGUUAACGCGAUAAGC
rnacentral:rRNA from 1 species